rnacentral:rRNA from 1 species
CAUGCAAGUCGAACGAUGAACCACUUCGGUGGGGAUUAGUGGCGAACGGGUGAGUAACACGUGGGCAAUCUGCCCUGCACUCUGGGACAAGCCCUGGAAACGGGGUCUAAUACCGGAUACUGACCCUCACGGGCAUCUGUGAGGUUCGAAAGCUCCGGCGGUGCAGGAUGAGCCCGCGGCCUAUCAGCUUGUUGGUGAGGUAAUGGCUCACCAAGGCGACGACGGGUAGCCGGCCUGAGAGGGCGACCGGCCACACUGGGACUGAGACACGGCCCAGACUCCUACGGGAGGCAGCAGUGGGGAAUAUUGCACAAUGGGCGAAAGCCUGAUGCAGCGACGCCGCGUGAGGGAUGACGGCCUUCGGGUUGUAAACCUCUUUCAGCAGGGAAGAAGCGAAAGUGACGGUACCUGCAGAAGAAGCGCCGGCUAACUACGUGCCAGCAGCCGCGGUAAUACGUAGGGCGCGAGCGUUGUCCGGAAUUAUUGGGCGUAAAGAGCUCGUAGGCGGCUUGUCACGUCGGUUGUGAAAGCCCGGGGCUUAACCCCGGGUCUGCAGUCGAUACGGGCAGGCUAGAGUUCGGUAGGGGAGAUCGGAAUUCCUGGUGUAGCGGUGAAAUGCGCAGAUAUCAGGAGGAACACCGGUGGCGAAGGCGGAUCUCUGGGCCGAUACUGACGCUGAGGAGCGAAAGCGUGGGGAGCGAACAGGAUUAGAUACCCU